rnacentral:rRNA from 1 species
UACGAAGGGGGCUAGCGUUGCUCGGAAUCACUGGGCGUAAAGGGUGCGUAGGCGGGUCUUUAAGUCAGGGGUGAAAUCCUGGAGCUCAACUCCAGAACUGCCUUUGAUACUGAAGAUCUUGAGUUCGGGAGAGGUGAGUGGAACUGCGAGUGUAGAGGUGAAAUUCGUAGAUAUUCGCAAGAACACCAGUGGCGAAGGCGGCUCACUGGCCCGAUACUGACGCUGAGGCACGAAAGCGUGUGGAGCAAACAGG